GUCUAGGCCGGCCCAAGUUGGCUUUCACGAUUAAUCUAGGUCAUUGCCUUUCCCCAGCCUCCCUAUUCCUCUCGAUCCUAUAGGAUCCCAUGCCGGCCGCCGCCACUCGACCUACCUGAAUCCGGGAGCGCUGCCCCUCACCAGCCACCACUCCCCUGCGAUCCUCCAUCCGGGAAGGCCGCCCCUCAGGCCCUCACCACUCCCCCUGCGAUCCUCCAUCCCGGCGCGCCGUCACUAGUCAACACUCCCCCGCGACUUGCUUCCAUCACGCCGUCCCUCUCGUCACCGCUCCCCUUCAACGACCAACUGCAUCUAGUACCUCCGCACGAGGGACUACGGCUACGGGCAGAGUUACCACUACAACCACCCUCGUGAUCGCGCUACAAUGGUUGAAUUAUAGAUGGUUGGUGCGGAGGGGAGCUUCUAGCUGACGCAUCUUGCUGUGAUUAAACUGAUUUUAGUUAUGGCUUAGGAGCUUGUCACGAGCCCAUUGCAGGUAUGUGGCAUGCAAGCAGAGGAGAGGAUGACCUUGACAAUUACCAAUUCUACCUUAUAUUUUAUCUGACAAGAUUCAAAGGAUAAAUGGAUGAUUAUAUGGGUGUGUGGCAAGUAUACUUCAAAGAUGAUGAUGAUGAUGUCCUGUUCCUGAUGAUGAUGAUGGAUGCUUUCAGUUUUGGUCAAGUUUCAGGGAUGAUGUUCCUCGGUUAACUUUUAGAUUAGUUGUACGGGUAUUGAUGGAUGCUUUUAGUUUAAGUUCCGCUGUCAAGAAAAUAUUUGGAUUAUGCAUCACAUUUGAAUGGUGUUCCUUGUGUAAUAUCCACUUUGUAAUCCAAUAGUUUUAUCUAAUAUAUGAGUUCUUCCUCCCA